CCUCUUUUAAGUGUUCAACAAUUUUGCUAAAGAAUAUGUGGGUUUUAACAGGUAAAGACAAUGAAAAUGAAUUUUGAUGAGCAUAUGCUGGUUGUGCCAAAAGUUUGGCUGUUUAUAUCCUGUCUGUUUAGAGCUGUACCUGCAUCAUUCUAAUGCAGACAUGCCCAGAGAAUGAAGGAGAAAUAAAGAGGAGGCAGAUAUUUUCUGGGCAAAAGGAACAGAAGCCAGCAGAAACAGGACUGUGAUUCCUAAUUAAUUCAAAGUUAAUUGCAUUGUUG
rnacentral:lncRNA from 1 species